rnacentral:lncRNA from 1 species
UGCACUUUCCUGCAGCGUAUAACAGACCUUAUAGACCAAUUAUUUAAAGUUAAAUAUUUGGAUACCCUUUAUAACAGUUGUUACAAAAAAAAAUAUCAUUGACGGUAUAUGUCAAUUAUAGUGCAACAUGUACAAAGAAUUUGAAAAGCAAAACAAAAACAAAACAGGAAGCUGGUGCCUUUAUGUCAUCUAUUGUCUCUGGAAAACAAAUAGAUACAAAGCAGAGGGAAGGCUUCAAUCGUGAACUUUAAUCCAUCACACACCCCACCGAUUUCAGAAACACAAAAAUUUCAGGUAUUUUGAUAUCAUGACCUACAAAGAAAAAGGAAACAAUGAAAUCCAAGAUUCCAUAAUUUUCAGAGAAAAAUGAAAGAGGAUAAACAAAUCACCUUAAAUUAGGCUUCGUUGAGAAGUUCAACAUCACCAUCCAUUCAUCUUUAGGAAAACAAAAACCUGAGAAUUGAAAUAGAUAAACACAAACAUGACAAUGGAAGGUAAUAGAAGCAAAAAAACAGAUAAACGCGACAAUAACCACAGACGCAGACCUGAACAUUGGAGCUGAAACAUGGAAAAUCAAAAUAAACGAUAAAAAAGAUAAAAAAAUAUAUAUAUAUAUUUACCUAGUAAAAUUCUUGAUUGAGAUAGUAACCUUUGACUUCAACCGGUGGAGUAAGUGAAGAUACCGGUUUUAGAGAGGAGUCGACGAUGCAGGCGGUACCACCCAACAAUUCUGAUCACAAGCGGUGGGAAUUGAAGGAGAGGGUAGCGAUCAUUUUAGAUGUUCAAUGUAUAGAUGAUGGCGGUGGGUCCUCUUCUCCACCUUUGUAAGCAGGCGUCGGUGUGAGGUGAUCGUCUGCCUCGUCUCCGCUAUCAAUUACCUCUGAUAAAGGGGAAAUUAGGGCUCAUGAAUUAGGACGAUGGAGGCGGUGGCGACGGUGGCGUCCUCUUCUCCACCUUUGUAAGCAGGCAUCGGGGUGGGGCGAUCGUGGGGUACGAAAGAGAGUCGAUUUGGGCGAUCGGUGGUGGAAGGCGAGCAGCAGAUGAGGCAGUGGAGAAAUUAGAAGAAAGUAGAGACAUUUACGUGUUGGGAGUAAAGUAACCAAAGUGACGGUGGUAAAGGAGAAAGACUCGUGUAAAUGAUGAACAGUAUCUUGAGUCUACACACAACACGUGUACAGGAAUAGAUAAAAGCAAUAGGUAAUUCUUGGAGAAAAGGAAUAAAAAAAAAAGUGGAAGUGGU